CGGGGUGCAGCAGGCGCGAAAACUUUACAAUGCGGGAAACCGUGAUAAGGGGACACCGAGUGCCAGCAUCAUAUGCUGGCUGUCCAGGUGUGUAAAAUACACCUGUCAGCAAGGGCCGGGCAAGACCGGUGCCAGCCGCCGCGGUAACACCGGCGGCCCGAGUGGUGAUCGUGAUUAUUGGGUCUAAAGGGUCCGUAGCCGGUUUGGUCAGUCCUCCGGGAAAUCUGACGGCUCAACCGUUAGGCUUUCGGGGGAUACUGCCAGGCUUGGAACCGGGAGAGGUAAGAGGUACUACAGGGGUAGGAGUGAAAUCUUGUAAUCCCUGUGAGACCACCUGUGGCGAAGGCGUCUUACCAGAACGGGUUCGACGGUGAGGGACGAAAGCUGGGGGCACGAACCGGAUUAGAUACCCGGGUAGUCCCAGCCGUAAACGAUGCUCGCUAGGUGUCAGGCAUGGCGCGACCGUGUCUGGUGCCGCAGGGAAGCCGUGAAGCGAGCCACCUGGGAAGUACGGCCGCAAGGCUGAAACUUAAAGGAAUUGGCGGGGGAGCACAAGGGCGAAUGCGGC
rnacentral:rRNA from 1 species